rnacentral:rRNA from 1 species
UGAAAAUCAGAGGGCGUGAACCGCUGAGAAGGAAGCGGAUAGAGUUGACGAAACACAAUGGCAUUCAUCUAAUCAGGUGCUAUUGAGUUAACUGUACUGUUUGUACUAUUGAACCGCAAGAUUUGAUAGUCAAUGAUAUGGUUAUAGCUGAAUACUUGAUUGGUGCUUUUGCCAUUGGUAUGUGCUGAGAGGUUCGCUGUGAUGCGUUAAUAUCGAUUGCUAAAGAGGACUAUGCUUCGCUUAAGUGUAGAACCCUUUCAUUGGUUAAGGCGUAUUCAUGGUGAAUUGCUGUUUGGUAACGCAGUUAUAUCGCUUGCUAGUAGCGCAUAUAGGUUAUUACGUUGAUUGUAGUUAGCUAUUGAGCGGUCGCAUGCGACUUGCUUAUAGUUUCAACUAUAGUUCGUUGAUAGCUUAUUGCGUUGGCGAUAUAUCUUGGUAUAAAAGUUGACCACCUAUCCGACCCGUCUUGAAACACGGACCAAGGAGUUUAGCAUAUACGCAAGUCAUUGGGUGGUAAACCUAAAAGGCGUAAUGAAAGUAAAGAUUGCAUUUAAUGCAAAUGAUAUGGGAUCUACAUUUGAGUCGUCAAAAAACUUUUUAAUGUAGCGCACCAUAGUCCCGUCCCCGUUGCUUGCAAUAGGGCGGAGAUAGAGCGUAUACGCUGAGACCCGAAAGAUGGUGAACUAUGCCUGAGCAGGAUGAAGCCAGAGGAAACUCUGGUGGAAGUCCGAAGCGAUUCUGACGUGCAAAUCGAUCCGUCUGACCUGGGAU